rnacentral:rRNA from 1 species
UGGGGAAUAUUGCACAAUGGGCGCAAGCCUGAUGCAGCCAUGCCGCGUGUAUGAAGAAGGCCUUCGGGUUGUAAAGUACUUUCAGUCGGGAGGAAGGUGUCAAGGUUAAUAACCUUGGCAAUUGACGUUACCGACAGAAGAAGCACCGGCUAACUCCGUGCCAGCAGCCGCGGUAAUACGGAGGGUGCAAGCGUUAAUCGGAAUUACUGGGCGUAAAGCGCACGCAGGCGGUUGAUUGAGUCAGAUGUGAAAUCCCCGGGCUUAACCCGGGAAUUGCAUCUGAUACUGGUCAGGUAGAGUCUUGUAGAGGGGGGUAGAAUUCCAUGUGUAGCGGUGAAAUGCGUAGAGAUGUGGAGGAAUACCGGUGGCGAAGGCGGCCCCCUGGACGAAGACUGACGCUCAGGUGCGAAAGCGUGGGGAGCAAACAGG